AUACGUAGGGGGCGAGCGUUGUCCGGAAUGAUUGGGCGUAAAGGGCACGUAGGCGGGGCGGUAAGUCUGGAGUGAAAGUCCUGCUUUCAAGGUGGGAAUUGCUUUGGAUACGGCCGCGCUUGAGUGCAGGAGAGGUUAUCGGAAUUCCCGGUGUAGCGGUGAAAUGCGUAGAGAUCGGGAGGAACACCAGUGGCGAAGGCGGGUAACUGGACUGCAACUGACGCUGAGGCGCGAAAGUGUGGGGAGCAAACAGGAUUAGAUACCCUGGUAGUCCACACUGUAAACGAUGAAUGCUAGGUGUAAGAGGUAUCGACCCCUUUUGUGCCGGAGUCAACACAAUAAGCAUUCCGCCUGGGGAGUACGGCCGCAAGGUUGAAACUCAAAGGAAUUGACGGGG
rnacentral:rRNA from 1 species